AUUGAACGCUGGCGGAAUGCUUUACACAUGCAAGUCGAACGGCAGCACGGACUUCGGUCUGGUGGCGAGUGGCGAACGGGUGAGUAAUGUAUCGGAACGUGCCCAGUCGGGGGGGAUAACGUAGUGAAAAUUACGCUAAUAUCGCAUACGACCUAUGGAUGAAAGCGGGGGAUAGCAAGACCUCGCGCGUUUGGAGCGGCGGAGAUCCGAUUAGGUAGUUGGUGGGGUAAAGGCCCACAAAGCCAACGAUCUGUAGCUGGUCUGAGGGGACGACCAGCCACACUGGAACUGAGACACGGUCCAGACUCCUACGGGAGGCAGCAGUGGGGAAUUUUGGACAAUGGGCGAAAGCCUGAUCCAGCCAUUCCGCGUGCAGGAUGAAGGCCCUCGGGUUGUAGACUGCUUUUGUACAGAACGAAAAGGUUUCUACUAAUACUAGGAGCUCAUGACGGUACUGUAAGAAUAAGCACCGGCUAACUACGUGCCAGCAGCCGCCGUAA
rnacentral:rRNA from 1 species